AUGGCGAUUAGUCCAAGGUCACCGCCGCGACAGAGCGCGGGGCCCGGGCUGCGACUUACGAUUUCUGCAGACCGCGCUCCGGCCACGUGGUCCCGCGGACACAGCCCCGAGGGAAAGCCAGGCCGCCCCCUCAGCGAGCCGCCCCGCCCCGCUCGCCCGCCGGAAACCGCGCGGCCCACCAAUCCCGGCUCCUCUCUCCCGCAAGACUCUCUCCCUCUUCAGUGGCAAGACCUGAGGAAGAACAAGGGUUCUCAUUGGACUAAGACAGUUCAGGGUCCAUGUCAUCUGAAGACAUCUCUCUACACCUCAGCGUGGGUUCAUGUACUCCUGCACUCAGCAACACAGAUCUCCAUUCUACCUGACUCUAGGUGGGUUGGACCAAAGUGGCCCCGUGAUCCGGUAUUAUUAUCCAGUUUUCUACUGCUGUGUAAGAAAUUACCACACAUCAGGGGAGGAGGGGCAAGAUGGCGGAAGAGUAGAGUCUCCAAGUCACCUGUCCCCACCAAAUUACCUAGAUAACCUUCAAAUCAUCCUGAAAAUCUAUGAAUUCGGCAUGAGAUUUAAAGAGAGACCAGCUGGAAUGCUACAGUGAGAAGAGUUCGUGCUUCUAUCAAGGUAGGAAGACGGGGGAAAAAGAAAUAAAGAAACAAAAGGCAUCCAAGGGGGAGGGGUCCCAAGAGGAGCCAGGCUGAGGCCGGGGCGAGUGUCCCCAGGACAGGAGAGCCCCGACCCGGAGAAGCAGGAGCUGCACCAACCUUCCCAGGCGGAAAGGCCUCGCAGGGAGUUGGAGCAGGACCCCAGGAGGGCGGGGAUGCCCUCGAGCUCCCUGGGACAGUAACAGGCACCUGCGCCCCGGGAGAGUGCGCCGAGCUCCCUAAGGGCUGCAGCGCGCACGGCGGGACCCGGAGCAGCUCGGAGGGGCUCGGGCGGCGGCUCCGCGGAGGGGGCUGCGGGGCGGGAGCAGCUCGGAGGGGCUCGGGGGGCUCCGCGGAGGGGGCUGCGGGGCCGGAGCAUGAAUCCAAUGGCGCAGACCCCGGAGCACAGGGCGCCGGGACACAGCCCAGGAUCCGGCCUCCCCCUGGGACAGGCAGAGGCCAGGAAGGCCCAGGACCGCAAGGCCCCAAGCUGAGCAGAUCAGCGGCCCCACCCUGGAGCCUCCAGGCCCUGCAGACAGAGAGCUCUGUAGUUCCUGCGGGAGCUGAAUCCAGGGCUCCAGAGCUGGCCCCACCACUGGGGUUGUUCCUUCUGGGGCCUCACCGGGUGAACAAACCCCACUGAGCCCUGCACCAGGCAGGGGCAGAGCAGCUCCCCCAAGUGCUAACACCUGAAAAUCAGCAUAACAGGCCCCUCCCCCAGAAGACCAGAAAUUACCACACAUCAUAGUGGCUUGAAGCAACACCCAUUUAUUACUCCACUUUCCCUGAAUCAGCUUAGCUGGGUCCUCUGUUCAGGGUCUCCCCAAGCUAAAAUCAAAGUAUGGUGGCUGUGUUCUAUUCCAGGAGCUCAACUGAGAAUCUGCUUCCAAGUUAAUUGACAGAGUUCAUUGCCUUGCUGGUGUGUGACUGAAGCCCUGGGUUUUAAGUCCCUCACUCCUAGUUCCUGGACAUGACUCACAGCAUCCUGUUUGCUUUUCCUUCUUCCUGACCAGCAGAGGGACCUCUUUUUCCAGUUUGCUAACAGACUUUAAAAAAAAUUAUUAUUUUAAAUUGAAGUAUAGUUUAUACAUAAUGUUAUACUGGUUUCAGCAGUACAGUGUAGUGACUUAGCAAUUAUGCCAUGCUCACCACAAAGGUAACUUCCAUCUGUCCCCUACAAGGCUUUUAAAUAACCUAUUAUAUUCUCUAUGCUAUACUUUUCAUCCCCAUAACUGGAAGCCUAUACCUCCCCCUUCCCUUUGCCCAUUUUGCCUCCACCCCCAACCUCACCUCCCGGCAACCACCAGUUUGUUCUUUGUAUUUAUGGGUCUGUUUCUGCUUUUUUGUUCUUUUUUUCAUUUGUAUUGUUUUUUUAUUUGUUUCUUGGCUUUUGUUUUGUUUUUCUUUAGAUUCCAUGUACAUGUGAAAUCAUAUAGUGUUCGUCUUUCUCUGACUUAUUUCACUUAGCAUAAUGCCCUCUGUACUGUAAAUUGUAAGACCUUGUCAGGAGGGAAUCUCAUAUCACGUAAUAUAAUCAUGGGAGUCACAUCUGGCCACGUUUUCCAUUUAAUGUAACCUAAUCAAGGAGAGACAUGCCAUCACUUUUGCCAUAUGCAUCUACUGGAAGCAAAUCAUAGGUUCUUCCUAAAUUCUAGAUGAAGAGAUUAUGCAAAAGUCAUCACAGGGUGCAUCUUCCACAGUCCUCAUACAAGGAGACUCCCAAUCCAUUUUUAAGUUCAAGUCCAUUUUUAAAGCCUCUUAUGAGAAAUCUCUGCAAGAGGGCACUGGGUGGCUCAGUGGUUGAGGGCCUGUCUUCAGGGGUCCUCGGAUGGAGUUCUGCAUCAGGCUUCUUGCAGGGAGCUUGCUUCUCCCUCUGCCUAUGUCUCUGCCUCUCUGUGUCUCUCAUGAAUAGAUAAUUUUUUUUUUUAAAGAAAGCUCUGCAAGUUUUGUUGAGGGAAAAGCAAGAAACAGGAGGCUUUGGUCUUAAACUUUUAGUGUCCCUACAGUCAUAUCUUUUAGUUUACCAAGCAGGGGAAUAUUUAUGUGACUGACCCUGUUCUGCCCCCUAAUAGCCCCUCCCCUCUGCUCUCUGAAACCAGGUCUUACACCUAUAUGCACAUCUUUCAUGUACAAAGGGCUCCUGUAUGCUUCCAACUUUAAAUCUCUGUGAAGGCAGUUUUUUUUAGACACUUCAACCAAAGCAGCAUAUUGCGACAAACUCAAUGCAGAAGACCUUGUGCACAUCCAACCGUUUUGCAUUAAGCCAGACAUUGAAAAGAUUUGCACAAAUGUUAAAAACAAUGCAAUGCAUCAUGAAUUUUUUUCCUAAUUUUUGACUGUAGUCUUAUUUUAUUGCACUUUUAAGAUUAUAUUGUUUCGUUUCAUUUUGUUUUGUUUUACAGAUUGAGGGGUUGUGGCAAUCCUGUAUGAGCAAGUCUACCUGUGCCACUUUUCUAAUAGCAUUUGUUCGCUUUGUGUCUCUGUGUCACAUUUUGGCAAUUCCCACCAUACUGAAAACUUUUUCAUUAUUAUUAUAUUUGUUGUGGUGAACUGCGAUCAGUAAUUGUGACUCACUGAAAGCUCACAUGAUGGUUAGCAGUUUUUAGCAAUAUUUUUAAUUAAGUUAUGGACUUUUUUUAGACAUAAUGCUAUUGCACACUUAAUAGACUACAUAAUGCUAUUGCACACUUAAUAGACAUAAUGCUAUUGCACACUUAAUAGACUACAGUGUAACAUAACAUUUAUAUGCACUGGGAAACCAAAAAAAAUUUGACUGACUUUAUUGAUAUUUGUGAUAUUAAUUUAGCGAUAUUCACUUUACUGUGGUGGUCUAGAACCAAAUCCACAGUGUAUUCAAGAUAUGCUUGUACAUAACAAAAUAUAUAUCACUUAUAUGUACUUACAUGUACUUGGCUUAGAUUGUUACGUGUAAUUAAACUAAUAAAGCUUUUAAAAAUGUUUUUCAAUUUUAAUUAAUCUGGUAAAUGCUCAAAAUGUUAUCCACAUGGACAAAAGCUUUGGGGAUCCUUAGUAAUUUUCAAUAGUAUAAGAAGAUGCUGGAACCAAAAAGUUUGAGAACUGUUUACUUGGGACAGUUCUUUACAAAACAAUAAAAGAAUAGCUUUUCCCAAAUGGUGAUAUGCCUAGUGAUGAUUCUUUUCUCUGUAUAUAGCUGUAUUAUUAAUGAACCUCAUGCUAGCCAUCCUAACAAAGAGUUUGUGAGUACGGUCAUGACAUAACCUCGGGCAUUUUCCAAGGUCCCUGUGGUUGCUGUAUGGUCCUUGUGGGAGAUCCUGGCUUACAUAUGAGUGGCUUUAUGGACAUCUUGGGGGUAAAAUCAGCAGGGCUUGCUUUUGAAGAGAAUUCAAGUCAUAAGGGUAAGUGAAGGGUCAAAGGUAUCACCUGGAACUUCAGCUUGACCACCUGACAUUGGGAAGAAUGAGAAAGAAAUAAAUAUGAAAACAUACCUAAGAAGUCUUUGGGGCCAUGUUAGAUUUGCCAUGUCUCUACUUCUGGGUACUAAAAACAAGUACAACGAGCCACAUGCAAAAUAAUCCUCUUCACAUAAAACCAUAAAUAUACACAAUAUUUAUUUUCUUCCAUUCAUUCAAUAACUAGCUACCAAUGCUUUCCACGGACUUUAUAAUACUUUGGGAGUGUUGGGCAGAGAAUCAUGAACAGAGCAUUAAAAAUCUUGGUCUUGGGGAUCCCUGGAUGGCGCAGCGGUUUAGUGCCUGCCUUUGGCCCACGGCGCGAUCCGGGAUCGAGUCCCACGUCGGGCUCUCGGUGCAUGAAGCCUGCUUCUCCCUCUGCCUAUGUCUCUGCCUCUCUCUCUCUCUCUCUGUGACUAUCAUAAAUAAAUUUUUAAAAAAUUUAAAAACCUUGGUCUUAAUCGAUUAUGCCUAAUUUAUGCUGGCAAACAUUCUUUUGGAUGCACAAUGAUGUGUCUGUAACAU
rnacentral:lncRNA from 1 species